ACUCAAAUGAAUUGACGGGGACCCGCACAACCUGUGGAGCGUGUGGUUUAAUACGAGACAAAGCGAAAAACCUUACCAGGACUUGACAUGCUAGCGUUCUAUUCUCUGGAAACAGGGGAAAUCCGCAAGGAGGCUAGUGCAGGUGCUGCAUGGCUGUCGUCAGCUCGUGCCGUGAGGUGUUCCCUUAAGUGGGGAAACGAGCGCAACCCUUACUUAAUGUUAAAUAUUCAUUGAGGACGGUCCCGAUUAUAUCGGGAAGGAAGGAGAGGAAGACGUCAAGUCCGCAUGGCCCUUAUGUCCUGGGUCACACACACCCUACAAUGGCGAAGAACAAUGGGCAGCAAGCUAGUAAUAGCAAGCAAAUCCCAGAAAUUUCGCCUCAGUUCAGAUUGGGGUCUGCAACCCGACCCCAUGAAGUCGGAAUAGGUAGUAAUCGCGGAUCAGCAGGCCGCGGUGAAUACGUUCUCGGGUCUUGUACACACCGCCCGU
rnacentral:rRNA from 1 species